GAUGAAGAACGCAGCGAAAUGCGAUAAGUAGUGUGAAUUGCAGAAUUCCGUGAAUCAUCGAAUCUUUGAACGCACAUUGCGCCUUCUGGUAUUCCGGAAGGCAUGCUUGUUCGAGAGUCAUUAACAACCGUUUCGAUCCCUUUCUUUCAGAAAUUACAAAGAGGAAAAGGGUUUGGUUAUGGUGGAGGAGGGAAAGGGAGCGUUUAGCCUGUAAAAAAAGAGGCUGUGUUCCGCCUCCCCCCCAAAAUUGUACAGGCGGUCGUGUGCGCCCACGCAUCGAGGUGUUGUAAAAGCUGCCACGGCACUUUUCACCUGUGCAGUGCGAGAUUGGCCAGCCGGUUUAAAAACCCCUCCAAACAAUCAAAGGUUGACCUCGGAUCAGGUAGGGAUACCCGCUGAACUUAAGCAUAUCAAUAAGCGGAGGA
rnacentral:misc_RNA from 1 species